ensembl:lncRNA
AGAGAGAGAGAUAAAUACAUAGAUAGAUAGAUAGAUAGAUAGAUAGAUAGAUAGAUAGAUAGACAGACAGGCAGAGAGACAGACAGACACAGACAGACAGACAGACAGAGAGAUAGAUAGAUAGAUAGACAUAGAGACAGACAGACAGACCGACCGACACAGACAGACAGACAGACAGACAGACAUAGAGACAGACAGACAGACAGACAGACAGACAGACAGAUAGGUAGAUAUAUAGAUAGAUAGACAUAGAGACAGACAGACAGACAGACAGACAGAUAGGUAGGUAGAUAGAUAGACAUAGAGACAGACAGACAGACAGACAGAUAGACAGACAGACAGACAGACAGACAGACAGACAGACAGACAGACAGACAGACAUAGAGACAGACAGACAGACAGACAGACAGACAGACAGAUAGACAUAGAGACAGACAGACAGACAGACAGACAGACAGACAGACAGACAGAUAGGUAGAUAGAUAGAUAGACAUAGAGACAGACAGACAGACAGACAGACAGAUAGGUAGACAGACAGACAGACAGACAGACAGACAGAUAGACAUAGAGACAGACAGACAGACAGACAGACAGACAGACAGACAGACAGAUAGGUAGAUAGAUAGAUAGACAUAGAGACAGACAGACAGACAGACAGACAGAUAGGUAGGUAGAUAGAUAGACAUAGAGACAGACAGACAGACAGACAGACAGACAACACAUAAGUUGCAUGAAAUAGAGCAGACGGACCCCUUCGUUGAGCACACAGUGGAUGAGGAAGAUGAAGGUGCCCUGUUGGGAGGUGAGGUAGAGGAAGAGAGUCUCCACAAAGUCGCUCGAGGAGGCGAAGAGGCCCAGGAUCCAGGGGCACCCGAGGGCAAUGAACUGAUAAGAGGUUUUGAUCACCAGUACCCUGCAAAGAGGAGGACAUGUUGUAG